GGAUGCGAUCAUAGCAGCACUAAAGCACCAGAUCCCAUCAGAACUCCGAAGUUAAGCGUGCUUGGGCGAGAGUAGUACAAGGAUAUGGGUGACCUCCUGGGAAGUCCUCGUGCUGCAUUCC
rnacentral:rRNA from 2 species